rnacentral:rRNA from 1 species
CAGCCGCCGCGGGAAAACGUAGGUGGCAAGCGUUGUCCGGAAUUAUUGGGCGUAAAGGGCUCGCAGGCGGUUUCUUAAGUCUGAUGUGAAAGCCCCCGGCUCAACCGGGGAGGGUCAUUGGAAACUGGGAAACUUGAGUGCAGAAGAGGAGAGUGGAAUUCCACGUGUAGCGGUGAAAUGCGUAGAGAGGUGGAGGAACACCAGUGGCGAAGGCGACUCUCUGGUCUGUAACUGACGCUGAGGAGCGAAAGCGUGGGGAGCGAACAGGAUUAGAUACCCGCGUAGUCCCUGUCUCUUAUAC